rnacentral:rRNA from 1 species
UACGUAGGGUGCAAGCGUUAAUCGGAAUUACUGGGCGUAAAGCGUGCGCAGGCGGUUUUGUAAGUCUGAUGUGAAAUCCCCGGGCUCAACCUGGGAAUUGCAUUGGAGACUGCAAGGCUAGAAUCUGGCAGAGGGGGGUAGAAUUCCACGUGUAGCAGUGAAAUGCGUAGAGAUGUGGAGGAACACCGAUGGCGAAGGCAGCCCCCUGGGGUAACACUGACGCUCAUGCACGAAAGCGUGGGGAGCAAACAGG